GACGAACGCUGGCGGCGUGCUUAACACAUGCAAGUCGAACGGAAAGGCCUGCUUUCCCUUGUGGAUUGCGGGUACUCGAGUGGCGAACGGGUGAGUAACACGUGAGUGAUCUGCCCCCAACUUGGGUAUAAGCCUGGGAAACUGGGUCUAAUUCCCGAUAGGACUGCAGGGUGGCGCCUGUGGUGGAAAACGAUUUUCUAGUGGUUGGGGAUGAGCUCGCGGCCUAUCAGCUUGUUGGUGGGGUAAUGGCCUACCAAGGCGGCGACGGGUAGCCGGCCUGAGAGGGUGGGCGGCCACAUUGGGACUGAGAUACGGCCCAGACUCCUACGGGAGGCAGCAGUGGGGAAUAUUGCACAAUGGGCGGAAGCCUGAUGCAGCGACGCCGCGUGGGGGAUGACGGCCUUCGGGUUGUAAACUCCUUUCGACCGCGAGGAAGCCACCUGGUUGGAAGGGUGGUGACGGUAGUGGUAGAAGAAGCACCGGCUAACUACGUG
rnacentral:rRNA from 1 species